ensembl:lncRNA
GUCACAGGAAGGCCAUAAAGAUCAUCAAGGACAACAACCACCCGAGCCACUGCCUGUUCACCCCGCUAUCAUCCAGAAGGCGAGGUCAGUACAGGUGCAUCAAAGCAGGGACCGAGAGACUGAAAAACAGCUUCUAUCUCAAGGACAUCAGACUGUUAAACAGCCACCACUAACAUUGAGUGGCUGCUGCCAACAUACUGACUCAACUCCAGCCACUUUAAUAUUGGAAAAAUGGGUAGCGCCACUUCGGACAGCACGGGGUGCCCUGCCUCUCUCACCUGGCCAGACCCACUGGCUCUCUACGGACCCCUGCUGCCCCUGCUACCUGGAUACAGACCAGACAUAGCAGCUUCUUCAACAAGCCAGAGGAGCUUUGGAGGGGAGUUCUGGCGGAGACUGGCGCCGGAGCUCGGAAGGGUCGAGGGAAGAGGACCAAGAGGAAGAUGAAGAAAAAUCUGAAC